CAGACUUAGCUUCUACUCUUCUCCCUUGUAAGGCUGUAACACCAUUACGCUAAUGCUCUGAAAACCCUAACACUCAAACAGAGCUCAUCGGCGUCGCUUGCACUCUCUCAUCUACCGACGCUCCCUCCUUUGUCUCCCUUAACCCGUCUUUGCUGUCGAUCGCACUCCCUCAGUGCUUAUUACUCAUCGCGUCGGUCAGCCAACGGAGGUCGCCGUUCCUUCCUCCGCGACACCAGCCUCUGCCCUCCUUCUUCUAUCGUCUCUUCUCAUAUGCUCUACCACCUUCUCAGCCAACGGGAAAGGUGGAAGUUUUGGUUCGGUGAACGAGGACCUUCUCCAGAAUAUCCUGGCGAGGCUCCCUGCUCAUUGGUUCGCUUCCGUUGCUUGCGUCAGCAAAUCAUGGAGCUCUGUCUGCAAUUAAAUCUUUACUCGUCCGAAGCUCUUUUCUGCCCUUUCUCUCAAUCCUUCACUUUUCGUUACACUAAACCACUUGACCAGAAAUCUGAUAUUGUGGUCCCUGAAGAUGAUCAUGGCCUCUAUGAAAUUGAUAUUCUAGAUCCAUCCUUGUUUACGAAUGUAUGCAUUUGACUGAGGUGUAUCAUUGACAUGCUUGUUGGGUGUGGCUACAAGAAAGGAAUCACAUUGCUUGGUUAUGGUUAUGACUUCUGGUAAAGCAAUAGAAUGGACAAGAUGAUGGAUGGCCUUAAAGCCAAGUUGGAAACUGCUUACAAAGCCAUUGGUGGAAGGAAAGUUAACUUGUUACUUUUCUUUGUCGAUGUUAUUUCUGGCUUGAAUGUAGCUCUAAUUGAUUUUUAUGAAUCUGUAUUUGUUUAAUUGCGUGGUUUCUCAGUGCUAGGAGUAUUAAUGCAUUCCGUUAGUGCUCACUGUUGGCUAAAACAAUGUUGCAGGUGUAAUAUGAACUUGUAUUGCCUGUGAUGAAUAUGUGUUUUCUUUCUUUCCUUUUAGCCAAUAAUCAUUGAUCAAAUACACACUACUUUUGCCGUAUGUUUCCACGAGACUACAAGAGCAUAGGUUUUGUCUUCUCCUCAUAAAUUUGGAAAGAAAUGACUAUAAGCUUUUUCGACUCCUUGUGUGCCUUUCUCUUAAUUUAAGUUUAUUAUGCUGAGUUUUGGUUGUUUAAAUAAUAUUGUUGAAGUAAAAUAGACCUAGAAGAAAGUCUGUUAAGUAUCUAAGGAAAGUGGGAAACCACACCUUAAAAGCUAGCUGUUAAGGGGGAAGAACCACUUUCCUUAUAUACAACAUCAAGCAUCCCAUACUACUCGAUGUGGGACUUUGAACACCCCAUAAUACCCAAGUCCCUAACAAUACACCGGCCCUGCAGAGCCGACGUCCACGGCGGCUUCACUCUAUCGACACUGACACAACGGUAGCCACUUUGCUACGGUCUAUCAGUAUUCGGUAUUCACCUUAAUCCAGCCUAUAGGUAGCCCUUUCCAUGGCGCCGACAACCACGCUCUGAUACAAGUUGUUUAAAUUGGUAUUUAUUGAAUGAAAAUGCAGAAAUUACAAUAGAAUAGAAAAGUGAUAGCAGAGGAAUUUCGAGAGUCCUCUCCUCUCCUAGCCUAGGCCUUUCCAAGUCUUUUCCUGCCUCAAUACCUAUUCGGUUCCUCCUUUUAUUGCCUCACCCUCUCUCUAAUCGAAAUCUUCAUAAUCAUGCAAUUUCCCUGAUUCUUUUCUGAUUGAUUCAAUCAGUUAUUGCCUCCUAAAAUAAAUCAAUUAUUUAAAUCAGUUCUUCCUCCCUUUCCUUUAUUAUUUUGUCUAGAAGAAUGAUAAGGUAAAGGGAUCAUUAUCUUCCCUUUUUUAGCUGCCUGCACUGCUGACUCAGCUUUUUCCUCAGGGUAUGUAACAAAGUCACAAUGAAUAAUCACGGUUAGGCAUUUCAUAAAUUACAUUUGAGCCUUGAGAAGGUGUGAAUAAGAUGUUGAGUCGAAUGCAUUAUUUAUACCUAACAUGCAUUAUUUAGGAUAUAAUUUUUUCCAUGAUUAAUUAUAACAUGUGAUUAACUACGAUUUCUAUACUUUAUUAUAUUCAUGCACCCUUUUUGGCUCUGAACUUAUUAUUCUUGCCGCCUAAUGAAUCUUAUUUUAGUUUAUAGAAGUAAUGUUUGACAUUUAAUGCUUCAUAUAUAGACAAAAAGGGUUUUGAUAUAAAAGUGAAAGAAAAUUCAAUUCACCUAAGGGAUAUAUAUGAUUUGGUUAGGAUUUGUGUACUAAAUUAUAAGUACAAGGGGGAAGGUCCUUGUUCUCUGGAUCUGAAAGGUGAUAGAAAUGAGCAAAUAAUAUAAGCUUGUGAUAUGUAUGUUGGUUUUGGUUGAUUGCCCUGUUAUGAAAUUAGUGUAGCGAGUGGUAUGUGACUUGAGGGAAUAGAGGUCGUUUAAAUUUGUAUUGCAUUUAGGGGCAGGUUGAGGAAAAAAAAGGCAUGGCGUUUCUAGUGGCAGUUUUUAUUCUUCCUGCAGGCACUCUUUUCAUUCUCUCAAGCCUUAUUGUAAUGCAAUGCAGGUAAUUAAUUAAGAUCCAAUCUGCAAAUCGCAUUGUUAUAUAUCCUUUCGCUUUUUUGGUUUAUGUUUUAUUAGUAUCGUAGUAAAUAUCCAUUUUUUUAACUGAGAUAGAUUUCAUUUCAAUCCAAUAUGAAAUGCCAAUAGGCACUGAGGUAGAGAAUAUAAAAUGCCAAUAGAAAAUGGAUAUAUCAUUGAAUUAAUAUAUUUAGAGUGACAGAUAAUUAAAAAAGAAUGGAAAAAGUAAUUAAUAUAUAAUUUUUACUUGUUUUAAUUAAUAUAUAGUUACUACUCCUCUAUGAGCCGAAGAAUUAUUAACUGUGAAAACAUUGCUUGACUACAAUGCAGAUUGCUAGGUAUUCAAGUUUCUUUUCAACUUCAAAUUAUGCCUCGUUCAGAUUUUUCGAAGUUGAUUGUGAUUUCUUUCUUUUGUAUUCUCUCCAGGGAGUUCCAUUACAAAUAAAUCACAAAACCCCUGAUAAUACGUUAAGAGUUCUUUUCUUCUUUUUGGUAACUUACUCAUUUUUAUAAUUUAUACAAGGUGGAAAAAGAACCCCCUUCAACUCUUAUGUGGACUUUGUUUUUGUUGGCUCAAGUCUGUAGCUAGUUUUCAUAUUGGUUUCUUGACUAUCUUUUCUUCCUCUUCUAUUUUGGCCUAUUUAUGAGGAUUUUUUCCGGUGCAGCAUUAUGACAGACGAGGAAAAUAUGAAGUUGCUCUUUCCAAAAUUGACGAGGCCAUAGAACACACACCUACUGUUAUUGAUCUAUAUUCUGUCAAUGUUUGCUUAUUAAUAAUUUUCUAAGAUUAGUUUUUUUUUUCAAGUCCUUUUAUGUUGUAAAGCUUUGUAUUUUAAGUUCACUUAACAGACUAUAACUACAAUGUAGUUGAAGCAUAAGUUUCGGUUAGGUGGGUCAACUUUUAGCAUUUGUAUGUGGCACUAAUUUACAAUAAAGCUAAACUAAAUAAAUUGAGACUGAAUUUGGAACUGACCGUGAUUUCUUCAAAUGCCUAGUAUAUUAUUUGUUGCUUAUCUCAUGUUAGAUUGAAAUGCCUAGUAUAUUAUUUGUCACUUUACAGGCUAUAGCAUUGACGGUGGUAUCUAUCGGUGUUGCUAUCGUUAUGGUGACUGAUCUGCAAUUCCAUUUUUUUGGUGCAUGUGUGGCAUUGGCGUGGAUUGUACCAAGUGCUGUAAAUAAAAUCCUCUGGUCUCGGCUGCAGCAGCAAGAGAACUAGAUAGCUUUGUCAUGGUCUUAUGUGGAAAACAACACCUAUUACGUUGAUUUUCCUGGCUGCUAUGAUGCCCUGCUUAGACCCUCCAGGUGUCCUCUCCUUUAGUUGGAACUUCGGAAACACACCCGUGAUUUUUGGCUCGGCAAUUCUUGGAUUCUUGCUUCAGUGGUCUGGUGCUUUAGUAUUAGGCAACAUGGAACUUCUCACAAAUGCCUUGGACCAUGAAAAUUGGUCACUGGUUCAAUUUUUCAUGUUAUCUUCUUACAGUAGAUAUGGCACGUCUAGCUUGCAACAAAAUUAUCUUUUGUAGGUAAAAAAAUUCACAAAUGAUCCAGAAAUAAUUAUUUAUGAUCUAAGGGAAGAAGGUUUAAGAGGGCUAGAGGAAGGAGGAACAGUAAAGGAAAUAGAAUUUAUGUUGUAUUGUUUUUGUAUUUUUUUUCAGUUUUUAGUUUUGGAAUUCGAACUUGAGAUUUAUUUUGCAUUUGAGUAUUAGUUUUUUAAUGUAUAAAACAAUUAUCAUAAAAAUUAUGUCACUAAUUAUGUUUGAUUUA